CUCACUAUUACACUAGGCUGGAGAUAAAAUAGACCGACUCACUCUCCUCCCACCCUUCAGUACAGUGAACCACUCAGGCGGAGGACAGGACGUAACCCUGCUCAAACCCACAGAGUGAGAGACACGCAGGACUCAGUCACGCUGAAAACAGGACGUUUUUUAACUUGGUCCAAUAACCAUUCAAUCAGCUCGGUGUUUUCUCCUUUGCUUUCGUUGUAAAACUUCAGCUCAGUCAGCGUUUUACCGUUUUCCCCGCGCCUGUAUCUCUGACUCAAACUGUGUCCCCGUUUGGGCUUGUCUUGUCGGAGAGCUCAACUUUUACCGAACGGAGAGAAAACAAAUGAAAGUGCCCUCAGACAGACAGGAGCGUUGGGAGCCAGUGGGAUGUUAGCUGUGGCUGAGACAGCAGGAGCGACUGAAGGAGCAUGGUGAAACACCAACCCCUCCAAGUCUAUGAGCGCCAGCUGUGUUUGUCAUGUAUCACUGGGAUCUAUGGGUGCAGGUGGAAGCGCUAUCAGAGGUCACAUGACAACACCACCAAGGAAAACCCUAAAUUUAGUU